rnacentral:rRNA from 1 species
GACGAACGCUGGCGGCGUGCUUAACACAUGCAAGUCUAACGAAGUGGCGAACGGGUGAGUAAGGCGUAAUAACCCUGCCCUUCAGAGGGGGACAACCGUUGGCAACGCCUGCUAAUACCGCAUACUGAAGGAGGGGAUUGCGUCUGAUUAGCUAGUUGGAGGGGUAACGGCCCACCAAGGCGAAGGUAAGUAGCCGGGCUGAGAGGAUGAACUGCCACAUUGGGACUGAGACACUGCCCAGACUCCUACGGGAGGCAGCAGUGGGAAAUCUUCCGCAAUGGACGAAAGUCUGACGGAGCAACGCCGCGGGAGUGAUGACGGCCUUCGGGUUGUAAAGCUCUGUUAAUCGGGACGCGGUACCGGAAUAGAAAGCCACGGCUAACUACGUGCCAGCAGCCGCGGUAAUAC